UGCGUAGGCGGUGCCCUAAGUCUGUUGUGAAAUCUCCCGGCUCAACUGGGAGGGUGCGGUGGAAACUGGGGUGCUUGAGUGUGGGAGAGGUUAGCGGAAUUCCUGGUGUAGCGGUGAAAUACGUAGAUAUCAGGAGGAACACCGGUGGUGUAGACGGCUAACUGGACCACGACUGACGCUGAGGCACGAAAGCGUGGGUAGCAAACA
rnacentral:rRNA from 1 species